GGGGGAAUAGCUCAAAGGUAGAGCACUUGUCUAGUAUGGGAGAGGUUCUGGGUUUAAUCCCCAGUACCACAA
rnacentral:tRNA from 1 species